UGCCUGCACCAGAGCUAUUUAUUAGCAUCACUUUUUCUUUUUUUUCUUAAAGAUUUCAUAACAACUGAAGUAUGUACAAAGUCUUACAGCAUUUACACACCAUAAAAAGUUGCCUGUUAGCUGAUGAAGUCUAAGGUAGCGCUGCUGAGAGGUUCAGAGCAGGACUACAGAGCAAAGGAGCAGACGGCUACACGUUUCCCUCCCGGCCACCGCACCACAAGUGUCAGCUGGUCCACAGCUAACUAACCACCCGCAAGACAGGUUACUGGGGAGAAUGGAAAUAAGUCGAUAGAGACCAAAGGGUGGAAGAGCUACAUGGCAUGGCAUCUUGCUUCCACAGCUUUCUAGCGCCGUAACACUAGGAGGAGGAUAACAUAUGCAAGACAACACAAUCGCACUGCUCAGAUACGGUUCAGCUAUGAAAGGUAUUAUUCCCUUUUACGUGGGAGGUUCUAUACCGAUGUGGCUGGUGUUCCCAUUCGUGUUCAUGUCUUCCCAUAGCUCGACCCUGCACAAGCCCCCAGCGCCCCUCUCCCGAGAAAACCAACAACACAGGGAGGGAGGGAGAGAGGGAAGAGAGUCAGCAUAGAAUUAGUUCUUGAUCAAAAAACAAACGACUUUUUUUUUUUUUAAGACAUUUAGUAUCAGCUUUAGGAUGGCCAUUCCCAUCAAAUGAUUAAUAGUAGAACUUUCGGAAUCAAGCCAAAUCAGAACAAUAUCAACAAAACCCCCCAACCCCCUCCCCCCAAACUCUUAGAUUUAAUUACCUUCAUGGUUUCUGAUUGUCUUUCCCUGGGGGUCAGUGUUACACAGAAGCACCAACAUUUACACACUUAAAUCGGACACAAAACGUAGCGCUGAGGCCCCAACCAUCACUUUACAGUGAGUGGCGGGAGAACUCCAAUAUGCAAAUGAUGACCAUCAGGCUCACGGCUUUCUUUCUCAGAAACCGUUGGCCUGGUUCUCUUUUAGGUCAGUCACUGUUAUCUGUCUGGUAGCGGAUCCCACUGAUUUUCCCCACUGUUUCGGUCUCACGCGUAGGCAAAUUGGCUUUUUAUUUCAAAAAGAUUCUACUCUCAACUUAAAAGCCAGUUGAUAAAACUUUUAAUUAAGACACAAUAGCGCGGGAUAUAAAAACACAAGAACCACAUAAAUAUCGAAGAAGUUGUCUACCGUUUUCGUGUAAACAGUUUUGCUUAAGAUCGAAGCCCUACUCGGGUUCUGGCCUGAGGCCCUGGGCCGGUGGCGUCGCGUUCAGCCGGGCUCUGCAGCGAGGGUGGGCUGGUGGGCGCAGGAGCCAGGCCAGUCCCCAUGUUGACAGGCAUGCGACUUGGAAACAUUGCACCACAGGCAACACAAAGAGAGCGGAGAAGCUCACGACACCUCGAGGAGACCUCAGGACCUUCACGACUUCGGGUGCG
rnacentral:lncRNA from 1 species